GGGGAAAGCCCUGGCAAAUAGAGACUGCUAGAAAAAGCAAAGAUAGUAUCUGCUGUUCCAUAAACAAGCAGUUACUGGACGGCAGGUAAUUUCGGCUGUGUAAUGCAGGCAAGCGCUUAGCCUGUGCUACUAACCCCUUGCUAGGUCCCAUCUAAACUGUUUCACGCCUGAAAAUUGCUAUGGGGUUAAAUUGUCCAUCAGCAGGAAGAGAAAAAGGGAAGCUUCAUGUUCAUGAUGAGGAACAUGUUCAGAGAAGCGUCAAGCUUGAAUGGAAAGAGAGGGAGGAGAAAUGUCUGUAAAGAGAUUAUGGAGCUAAGUAAGGUAAGAACAGCUUUAAAACAGCAGGCACGGAAGUGAAUGGAUAGAAUGGAAGAGUCCACUCACUAGACCUAGAGAGACCUAGACUAGAUUCGCAGAGAUUAAAAUCACCCCAGCUGGUACACACAAGUUUUCUAGAAUUCUAGGAGUCCACAGAAUAGCAUUAAUCACCAUGGGAGUCUGGCAUCACUGCUGUGUGGAGCUGCCUUCAUGAAGCCGGCAGAGCAAAGAUCCAGGAGCAGAAGCCCAAAAAGCAUUGAAGGAGAGAAGCAGCAGGAUGGGGCUUCCAGAGGUAAUUGGACAACUGGUUACUUGGAGCCCUCACUUCUGAAAAUCAUUUUUCUGGUGCUAUGGGCUGCUGAGUGAGAAUCUCUUUGGACCUGCUUCUCUCCUUUCUGUUCAUUACUGGGGUUAAUCAAAACCCAGACCUUUCUCCGACCUCAAACAUAUUACCAUGAUGGGCUGGGAAAAUCGCCGAGGCUGGACUGUACUGCUGCCAUCUCGACUCACUGCAACCUCCCUGCCUGAUUCUCCUGCCUCAGCCUGCCAAGUACCUGGGAUUGCAGGCGCGCGCCGCCACUCCUGACUGGUUUUCGUAUUUUUUGGUGGAGACGGGGUUUCGCCCUGUUGGCCGGGCUGGUCUCCAGCUCCUGACCGCGAGUGAUCUGCCAGCCUCGGCCUCCCGAGGUGCCAGGAUUGCAGACGGAGUCUCGCUCACUCAGUGCUCAGUGUUGCCCAGGCUGGAGUGCAGUGGCGUGAUCUCGGCUCCCUACAACCUCCACCUCCCAGCCACCUGCCUUGGCCUCCCAAAGUGCCGAGAUUGCAGCCUCUGCCUGGCCGCCACCCCAUCUAGGAAGUGAGGAGCAUCUCUGCCUGGCCGCCCAUCGUUUGGGAUGUGAGGAGCCCCUCUGCCCGGCCGCCCAGUCUGGGAAGUGAGGAGCGCCUCUUCCCGGCCACCAUCCCGUCUUGGAAGUGAGGAGUGUCUCUGCCCGGCCGCCCAUCGUCUGGGAUGUGGGGAGCGCCUCUGCCCCGCCAACCCGUCUGAGAUGUGAAGAGCGCCUCUGCCCGGCUGCGACCCCGUCUGGGAACUGAGGAGUGUCUCUGCCCCGCCGCCACCCCGUCUGGGAGGUGAGGAGCGUCUCUGACCGGCCGCCCCUUCUGAGAAGUGAGGAGCCCCUCCGCCCAGCAGCCGCCCCGUCUGGGAAGUGAGGAGCCCCUCUGCCUGGCCGCCACCCCGUCUGGGGGGUGUACCCAGCAGCUCAUUGAGAACGGGCCAUGAUGACGAUGGUGGUUUUGUCGAAUAGAACAGGGGGAAAUGUGGGGAAGGGAAGGAGAGAUCAGAUUGUUACUGUGUCUGUGUAGAAAGAAGUAGACAUAGGAGACUCCAUUUUGUUCUGUACUAAGAAAAGUUCUUCUGCCUUGGGAUGCUGUUAAUCUAUAACCUUACCCCCAACCCCGUGCUCUCUGAAACAUGUGCUGUGUCCACUAAGGGUUAAAUGGAUUAAGGGCGGUGCAAGAUGUGCUUUGUUAAACAGAGGCUUGAAGGCAGCAUACUCCUUAAGAGUCAUCACCACUCCCUGAUCUCAAGUACCCAGGGACACAAACACUGCAGAAGGCGGCAUGGCCCUCUGCCUAGGAAAACCAGAGACCUUUGUUCACAUGUUUAUCUGCUGACCUUCCCUCCACUAUUGUCCUAUGACCCUGCCAAAUCCCCCUCUCCGAGAAACACCCAAGAAUGAUCAAUAAAUACUAAAAAAAUUAAAAUAAAAUAAAAUAAAAUAAGCCUUGACCUCCCAGGCUCAGGUGAUCCUCCCAUGUCAGCCUCUCCGGUAGCUGGCACUACAGGUGCACACCACCACACCCAGCUAAUUUUUGUAUUUUCUUGUAGAGAAGGGCUCCCACCAUGAUUCCCAGGCUGGUCCCGAACCCCUGGGAAGGAGGGCUAAAGCUAUCCACCCUCCUCUUCCUCCCAAAGUGUUGUGAUUACAGUUGUAAGCUACUGUGCCUGGCCAAGAAAACAAUUUUUAAAGAGGCUAGGUAAUUCAAAGUCACACAGUUAAUAAUGGUGCAGUGAGAAAUGAAAAUGCUCACUCUGUGGCUUCAGAGCUUACACUCUCCUACUUUUAUGGAGUACACUAAAUUAGGAACCAGAUAAAACUUGUCAUCUUACAAAUCCUCCUCAUAAACCUUAUCUGUAAUAUCAGGAGAAGAAUACCUACUUUGUAUAGUUAUUGUGAUGAAUAAGUGAUUUUUAAAAAUAUUUAGCACAGCCUGGUACACAGUGUAUUUUCAAGAUAUGAUAGUUUAAAAAAAAAAAAAAAAACCUAAAACCCACAAAACAGACAUUUCAACAUGAGUUUUUCUUCAUACCUUCAUACGUUUUGUAUAAAUCUGGCCAUCUUUCAUUCUUCUUCCUCCCACUCUCUGGGAUUAUAUUGUUUUUAUGCAAUCGGGAUAAACUAAUAAACUAAUUUUCAUUAUGAUUUUAUGUCUUCUUAAGAGAUGUGCCUUGAACUUUGAAAGAAUUGUGAGAGAAAAAGAGCGCCUGUGCAAACAAUUUAUUUUUCCAGGAAACAUUAAUCAAACCUCCAUUCUAGGCAAGGGGCUCUACUAGGCAAUGGGACUAUAAUAAUAAAAAGGCAGAUGAGGGUCAGCCCUCCUGGAGCUUACAUUCAGGCAGAGAAGACACAAUAAACAACAAACCAACAAUGAAUAAACAGACAUCCAUAUAAACAUUAUAAAAGAAAGAAACUUGAUGUUAUACAUGACAGAGGGGUGUGGUUACAGAGGAUGAUCAGAGAAGUCCUCUUUAAAGAGAUGAUUGUUAAGCAGAUACCUAUAAGACAAGGAGACACACAAAGAAAGUCUAGGAGGAAACUUUCACAGAGCGACCAGCAAUUGCCAACUUCCUUAGGAAAGAGGUUAGAAUGUUCUAGAACCUCAAAAAAGCUAUGAUGCAUAAUGAGUGAGGGUGAAGGUGGCAUGAAAUGAGGUUAGAAAGCUAGGCAGCUGUCAUAUCCUGCAGGAAUCCUAGCUCAUGAUAGGAAGGAGGGUUUCAUUAUGCCCAUGUUGGAAAUGUUACAACCCUAAAGAGUUUGAAGUAAGGAAGUGACAUGCUGUACUUAAUAUUAUUAAAGGUUUACUCUAGCAUGUAACUGCAUAAUAAAUUAUGUCCUGUGCUACAGGACAGUGAUGAGGGGGAAUUAAGAAGAAUGGAAGAAUAGGAUAGUGUUUACACUUCUAUAGCAUUUAUAUUCAUUUGUUGAUUUUUUUAGAUUGUUUAAUGAUUGUUAGUUGUCAUUGUGUCUUCUCCACACUGAGAAGACUGGAAGUCUAAAUAUGAGAUAAGAAGUGUUGAAUUAGACUAGCAUGGUGGCAAUGGCUAUGAGGAACAGUGUAUAAAUACAAGAUAUAUUCUGGAGGUAGAAUUGAAAGGCAGAUUACUUUUUAUUUUAUUUUAUUUUAAGUUCCAGGAUACAAGGGCAGGACGUGCAGGUGUGUUACAUAGGUAAAACUGUGCCAUGAUGUUUUGCCACACCUAUCGCUAUCCUAUCGCCCCAUCACCUAGGUAUUAAGCACCACAUGCAUUAGCUCUUUAUCCUGAUGCUCUCCUUCCAUUUGCCCCCCGAGUGUGUGUUGUUCUCCUCCCUGUGUCCAUGUGUUCUCGUUGUUCAGCUCCCACUUAUAAGUGAGAAUAUUAGAGAAAUGCAAAUCAAAAUCAUAUUGAGAUACCAUGUCAUGCCAGUCAGAAUGGCAGGUUAAUUUUGAAAUGCCCUAAAACAUCUAAGGGACCAUGCCAAGUAGACAGCUGGAUAGAUGAAUCUGCAUGAAAAGGAGGUCGGGGCAGCCAGAUACUAGUGUGGGGGACUGUGUGUUAACUCUAUUUUCUUACUUUCUGUAUUCUUGAUGCUCUGGAUUCCAGAGCCUCACUGACAAGGGAUAGACUGCCCCUCCUGGGGCUAGCUAAUUCCUAGAGAUACCAAAUGACUCCCUGUGGAGCACACCUUUCACAUGCAAACCAGCUAAUCCAGAGCCCACACCUCCAACUAUCUCCUUUUUCACGCUCUCAAUAUUCCCCUGCCAUUAUCAACCCAGGGCCAGAUAGCAGACAACUACAGACCACUCCUAGAGUGCAGAGUCCACUGAAAUUACUCAGUCUAAUCCUAAACCUGCUCAGCUUGCUUACACUGCCUUGCACAUUCCUUCCCAUGAAAAUCACAAUAAAGGUUACGGCCCAUUCUUUCUUCUUGCUUCUUCUGCCUUCUGACCAACCCUGGUGUGGCGCGUGUGGCCCUGUGUCGUAUGGCAUGCCCCUUCCUCUUGAGAACUUUGUGUAACAAACCACCUUCAAUGGCAAACCUCUCAUGACCUGUCGAUAAAAACAACCCCGACCCAGCCCCAUUCAAAAGCAGAUCCAUUUUAAAAACAGGUUGUCCGUGAUCAAAUCAGGAUAAUUACUCUAUUAAUAUGUACAAAUAUUGUGUCAAUUUAAAAAAUAACAGAUUGUCAGCAUAACAAUGGCAUUGAAAGCCUUUAGAAUGAUGGGGAUCACUUAAGGGAAGUGUGUAGAUAGAGAAAAGGAGUCACGAGGGCCACCAGGGGAGUCCCCAAAACUAAAGAUCUAUGUUUUGGAUUUCAGACUGUGUGUCAACUGAGUUGAAGAAUUAUUUUCAAGCUUUCUCAGCACCUCAAAAAUCAUGCCACAUAAGCCACUGCCUACUCUACGUAAGUGUAAGGCUGAUCCUGUUUCAAAAUGAGUAAUCUUCACUAAGCCCACAAGCAUAGUUGAGUUAUCUUCCCAGAGAAAUAACAUGAAGUUAAAAGCCAUCCACGUGAGGAUACACCCAGUAGGCAGAAACACAUGAGAUAUAAAGCAACCAUCCCAAUGUGCUGAUAAGAAAGAAAAAAAAAAAACACGUAGGUAAAACUCCUACACUGACAGACAUCCAGGGUCUCUGCUGAGAUGUCAGGCAACCAAAUGCACACAGAGCCAUAUCCCCAGAGCACGUCUCAGACCUGUGCCAUUCCAGCACAGCGUUCUCACAGGUCUACGGUGAAAUGAGAAAACCAGGCAGUGCAUUUUCAACAAAGCUAAAAGUAUUUAUUUAAAAGAAUUCCUUUGAAUCUGAGAUUAUGACUUUUCUGCCUUUUUUGGUAUUUAGAUACCCUUCCUUUCACGAAAUAGUGGCAAAAGUAGAGACAGUUUGUUACUUUUAUACUUGACAAAAGAACAAACAGGCAGUCCCAUAGAGGCCCUUCACAUUUUUUACUCUUUUCUUUUUACUGGACCAUAAUUUAAAAAUUUGGAAACCACUAAUCUAAAAGAUGUUACAUACCCAGAUAUUUGAAAAAAAAAAUCCACUAUUUAUAACCAGAUUUCUGCUUUCUGUUUCAUCCGGACAAAUGGAGUAACCCAGACAUAGCUCGAAUGAGAUUUCUCAACGCCACCCAUGAUAUGGAGUUUCCAUUUUGACAGGUUGGCCGUGAGUUAGGAAACUAUUAUCCCAGUGAUGGAGGGAAUGCGUACACAUCCAGAGCUAAAGUGUUAUGUUUUCUCAGAUACUGACAAGUAGGGACAAAGGUUCAAUGGUGACUAAUGAAUAAACUGUUAAGGUGGAGUCAGGACUUAAUUGUUUAAAAGCAGUCACUUGAGGCAUGUAGCUGCAUUCACUGUGAAACCAAAUCAAGCUUCUGAUGAUGUGGCAAGGACAGAUGUAUGUAUUUAUUUAUUUAAACAAAAAGGCUUAGCACUUCAUCAAAGUCUACUCUCCGCUUAAACUUUGAACAGCUACUAUAAGGGGAUGUAGGAUGAACAAGUUAUCUUUGGGUUUUUUGGGUUUUUUUUUGUUUUUUUUUUUUGCUAAUUCUGGGAGUAAUUACAGCAUCAAAUUUCUGGGUAUGUUCUUCAAUAAGUAGGUCAGGCUCAAAUGUUUGGAUACAGUAAUUUAGGAGGAGGAGCUUGUCCUGAGGAGGUUGCUAGAAGGGAGAUGAGGGAGACAGAGCCAAAGGCAUAAUAAAUGAUAAAUUAUGCAUUAAUCAGGCCACUCCUUCAUUUUCCUAUUGUGGUUAAGAGAUUACAAUAUUAAUCUAGCACUACCCAUUUAAUGUAAUGAAAAGCAGUGACAAAGAAAACUUCUACUGUUUUCUAUGGAAGAAGCGAUGCAAAGCUUGAGAAAUUGGCUGCAAGAUUACCUACUGUCAUUUCCACAUUCACCUAAAGUGAUCACACUUGAACCAAGACCAUCACAGGAAAAGGGAGGAUGUUUAUCACUGGGAUCUAGAACUCUGGCUUCCCUAAUUUCUUCAUGGACCAGAAUGGAGCCUGCAGGCAGCACUAUGGCCAGUCUGCACAUACUGCAUUAAAAAAAGAAAAGUGACAUGACUUUUUGUUCUUGUUGGGGCUUUCCUUCAACUGUAACUAAAAAAAAAAAAAAAAAAUACUGAUAUCAGACCAAAGGGGAAAAAGCCAUAUAUUUUGUUUCUGUAAAUAUAAACACAGUUGUAGGGGCACACAGACAUGAUGUUGACGUAUGUAUGGGUGUUUGUAUACAUUUUUAGAGAUGGGCAUCGGGUAAAUUAAAAACAUAAUUUCAUUAGAAAUUCAGAACCAGAUUUAUUCUUUUCAGUUACAAGACAUAAAAGCUUCAAUAUAAAAUAAAGUUGUAUUUCUGUAUUGAAUUGUCUUGAACUUUUGUACUGAACCAAUAUAAAAAUUGAACUGUUCUUUGGUAUUGAACCAGAAAAAGACCGAAUGGCCUCUCAGCCUGAAAAUGGAAGUUCACCAUUCAAUUCCUAAAAUAACUUGCUUACUACCAUAACAUUUGAACAAGAAAUAUUUAAUUUUUAAUGCUAUUUUAAAAAUCCAUGUUGCUUGAUCUCAUAUGUUUUAAACAAAGUUAUACCAGGAGAAGAAACUCAAGAAAUAAAGUUUUG
rnacentral:lncRNA from 1 species